AUGUGGCAGCAUCAGCAUCAGGAAACUGUCAUUAUAAAGCCUAUUCUUGAGACAUUCUUAAUGGGGAAGCAGUGGAGAUGGCGUCAAGCCGGGCAGAGGGUUGCUCAUCAGCACGUGUUCAGAUCUUGGUAUUGAAUGUGUAAUCAUGAGAUUUGGGCUUGCCUGAUAAAUGCCAGAUGAUAGAAAAAUUCGUAGGCCCAUGUGCAGCAUCAGAUUUGGGAAUCAAACACUGCUUGAUGAGAAAAUUAGAUACUAAAUAAGCACAAGACAUAGACAGAUGUUUAUAAAUAUAAAGAGGAAACUAAAAAUAGGAAUGUGAGUGUAUUGCUACCGAUGUCCAGAAGAUGUCACGACUAGAAAGCAUUUCUGUUUAAGCUAGUGAGCUAGACACAUAUCCCAGGUGCUCAGUUCUAGUGUGGCACCCGGACCGUGGGAGGUGGCUAAGUACAAAGACAGCUGCCCCUGAUGGGUAGAGAGAAAGGCCACUUUCUCAGGGAUGUGGGAAAUGGCAGGGGUAGGGCCAGGGACCAGAAGGCUUAUUUGAGGGCUGAGCAUGCUUUUGCUGCAUAUUUCUGACUUUUAAAUUACUGCAGCUUUCAGUAACAGUUUGAAAGCAUUGCCACAUCAUUUGCAGCAUGGGGAAACUACUCUUCCUACCCCCACCACCACAGGAAGAGGGAUUUCAGGUGGAAGCUCUCUUAUCUCAUCUCUCCCUCCAACAAGCAAAGAUAUACCCAGGUGGAGAUGAAGCAAGAGGAACCCAGGCUAAAAGUGAGGCAUAAAUCCAUAAGAGUGGGCAAGGAGCUGCUGCAGCAACCCACCUGUGACCGUGCUACAGUGCGUUCAGCUGGCCACGAGGCAGCUGCCGUAAAGCCAAGCUGUGGCUGCUCACACCGGGCUGAAUUCGGGUAGCUGCGACAGGCAGUUGCAUCCACCUGCAGGGCACCAGCACUUGCAGGGAGGUUCCCAGGAGCAAGGAGACCCCUGGCCCCCAGGAGCUGGAGCCACGCAGAGGAGCUGCCAUUGGGUGCCAGGUGCCUGAGCCACUCCUUUCUGCCCCUCCAGCGCCUGCUCCCUCCCUCCCUCUCGCCAGGGACCAGGGACGGACGCACUCUGCCCAGGCCAGGUCACGGAGGCAGACUCCACGUCGUGCAACACGCAUGCUGCUGCUGCAGGUGCUUCUGGCUGCUGCAGCCCUUUGCUCCUAUGGAGCCGCGCAAAUCCUCCGGCAGCCAAAACCUUCCGUGCGCAGAGUGGCAUACAGCACUGCGCGGAUCGACUGCCACUUCUCGGGGUCAGACUUUCCCAAUGCCUACAUCCACUGGUACCAGCAGAAACCCGGGGAAGCCCCACAGCACCUUCUGUAUGUGCAGAAAGAGGCGGCUGCGUACUACGACCAGUCCUACAGGGAAACUUUUGGGGCCGAGAAGAAGAAGACGGAGCCCAUCUGUACUCUCACAAUAAAAAGAGUCACAAAGGAGCAGGAAGCCACCUAUUACUGUGCUUACUGGGAGAGCACAGCCGUAGAAAACCCUCAGGCAGCCGGCACACAACCCAGGCUGUGCUCCCCACCACAGGCGGGUGAGGGCUGCAAACCUCACCUGGCUGCAGGCUCCUGCUGGCCUGGCUGGGCACACCUGCAGGGACUCCCGAGGGUGGAAGACGUGGCAAAGAAAGGCCCCCUGUCCUGGUUUCAGUUAGCACAGAAUUAAUUUUCUUCCUAGUAGCUGGUGGAAUGCUGUGUUU